rnacentral:rRNA from 1 species
AUCUAUGGCCAUACCACCCUGAACGCAUCCAGUCUCUGAUCUUGGCAGACAAGCAGGGCCUGGUUAGGACUUGGAUUGGAGGCUGCCUGGGAAUACCAAGGGCUGUAGACU